UACCAGCACCCCGAGUGGUCGGGACGAUUAUUGGGCCUAAAGCAUCCGUAGCCGGUUCUGCAAGUCCUCCGUUAAAUCCACCUGCUUAACGGAUGGGCUGCGGGGGAUACCGCAGAGCUAGGAGGCGGGAGAGGCAAACGGUACUCAGUGGGUAGGGGUAAAAUCCAUUGAUCUACUGAAGACCACCAGUGGCGAAGGCGGUUUGCCAGAACGCGCUCGACGGUGAGGGAUGAAAGCUGGGGGAGCAAACCGG
rnacentral:rRNA from 1 species